rnacentral:siRNA from 1 species
CGUCCUCCAAGCGUUUGGUGU